rnacentral:rRNA from 1 species
AUUGAACGCUGGCGGCAGGCCUAACACAUGCAAGUCGAACGAGUGGCGGACGGGUGAGUAAUGUAUGGGAAACUGCACGGUAGAGGGGGAUAACUACUGGAAACAGUAGCUAAUACCGCAUACCAUCGGAUGUGCCCAUAUGGGAUUAGCUAGUAGGUGGGGUAAAGGCUCACCAAGGCGACGAUCCCUCGCUGGUAUGAGAGGAUGACCAGCCACACUGUAACUGAGACACGGUCCAGACUCCUACGGGAGUCAGCAGUGGGGAAUAUUGCACAAUGGGCGCAAGCCUGAUGCAGCCAUGCCGCGUGUAUGAAGAAGGCCUUCGGGUUGUAAAGUACUUUCAGCGAGGAGGCGUUACUCGCAGAAGAAGCACCGGCUAACUCCGUGCCAGCAGCCGCGGUAAUAC